CCGGGCUUCCUGCGCUUUCCUUUCCAGCCGCGGAGACCCCCGAUCCCAGGCCUCGCUGGGUCCGGCCGCUGUUCGGACCCCCGAUCCCCGCAGGCGCGGGCCACUCACGCUCACACCGAGGACCGCUCACUCCGGAUGGCUGCGUCGUUUUGGGUGGAGGAUACUUUACCCGGGUCAGGAGCGCGCUUGCUGUUCCAAGAUGCGCGUGGUCAUGGUGUGUUUGAAAGGAACAGCCCUAAAUAAGGGUCCCUUGCCCCUUCACAUGGUCCCAGGCCCCUACACCCGUGUGUCGCUUGGGGAAGUUUUCCCACUUCUUGAUAGAUUUUGAGAGAUAUAAAAAUCUUAAACUGGGCCUGGUGGUGCAGCCUGGAGUCCCUACUACCGAGAGGGAGGCAGGAAAAUCGCCAGAGCACAGGAGUGACCAGCCUGGGCAACGCAGGCAGAUCCCGUGUCUAAAAGAAAUAUCCAGAAAAAUCCCGCUGACCCUUUCCAGGAGUUCCGGAUGUGAGGUGGUGAAGCCUCUGGAAGCGGCACUCUGGGCAGUGACUGGCCAGACGGGGUGGCACACGCCUGUCAUCCCAGCUACUUGAGAGGCUGAGGAAAGAAGAUCUGCGUUCAAGACAGGCCUGUACAAUCUCCCAAGACCCUGUCCCAAGAGAGAAAGAAAGAAGAAACCACUAGAGACGUAACUCCGUGGCAGAGGGCUUGCCUGGCAGGUGAGAGGCCCUGGGUUCCGUCUCUAGCACCACAAGAGGGGAAAAAGCAGCAACUAUGCUUGGAUCCUGUAAAGAAAAGGUCACAGAACUCAGAAUCUCUUUACAGAUACACUAGCACAAUUACUGCUAAAAGAACCGUUAGGUGACCCAGGACCAAGAGAGUGGCUCAGGUCCACGACCCAUGAACAGGCCUCUGAGGCGGGAUAUGAUUCUAACAGUUGCACCAUGGUCAUCCGGCUCUCUUCCCCUCAUCUGUAUCUGCUUUCAUCCCCGUGUCAAGGUGGAUUCGUAAACACGGUAGAUUCCAGCAUGUCAGAUCCCACUUUUCAAAAGCAGCUGUUUCAGUUGCCAGUUGUGACAACCCGGGUGGAGUUCUACUCGUCUCUCGUUGUAGACAGAAGACAGGCUUAGGGAGCUCAAGUCACUUGGAAGUAUUAAGGGAGGUUAAAUAAAACACAUCUGUCUGAUUCCGGAGCCUGGACUCUGGGUGGGCAUACGUUGCCUCCUCCAAAACACCCUUCCCCGACACAGGCUGGUGACGGCAUUCCUGUGGUCAGGGCAUCACAGCUACUCCAGGCACUUGGGGGUGGUGCCCAGGCCUGUUAUCAAACCCAGCUUCUUAAACCUUCCUGUGGAACCAUGCUCAAAACGAAUGCUGUUCAGGAGAUCCGCCGCACAUCCUGAGACAGCUAAAGGCCUGGCACAAGACCUGGAAAAGAUUCCAUCCUGCUCAGGAAGGCGAUGCCGUGGACUACUGAAACACUCACUGCGGCCACACGCCAGUCCAGACACAACAAACGGCAAAAGUGAAUUAAGACCAUCCUCAAAGUGCACGAAAGGUAUAAGCCUUCAAAAAGAAGAUGUCAAUGAUUCGACCGAGACCAGUCGAGAUUCUACCAAAGAUAAUCAAAACCUCCUUCAGUGAUGGAACCAUGUAAAAAUAAAAUGGCCCUUUUAAUAAUG